rnacentral:rRNA from 1 species
GACGAACGCUGGCGGCGUGCUUAACACAUGCAAGUCGAACGGAAAGGCCCUGCUUGCAGGGUGCUCGAGUGGCGAACGGGUGAGUAACACGUGGGUGAUCUGCCCCUUACUUUGGGAUAAGCCUGGGAAACUGGGUCUAAUACUGGAUAGGACCAUGCUGUAGGUGGUGUGGUGGAAAGAUUAGUUUCGGUAAGGGAUGAGCUCGCGGCCUAUCAGCUUGUUGGUGGGGUAAUGGCCUACCAAGGCGUCGACGGGUAGCCGGCCUGAGCGGGUGGACGGCCACAUUGGGACUGAGAUGCGGCCCAGACUCCUACGGGAGGCAGCAGUGGGGAAUAUUGCACAAUGGGAGCAAGCCUGAUGCAGCGACGCCGCGUGGGGGAUGACGGCCUUCGGGUUGUAAACUCCUUUCAGCCAUGACGAAGCGCUUGUGGUGACGGUAGUGGUAGAAGAAGCACCGGCUAACUACGUG